rnacentral:rRNA from 1 species
AACGCGAAGAACCUUACCUGGGCUUGAACCGCACAGGACCAGCUUUAGAAAUAGAGCCUUCCCGCAAGGGACCUGUGUAGAGGUGCUGCAUGGCUGUCGUCAGCUCGUGCCGUGAGGUGUUUGGUUAAGUCCAGCAACGAGCGCAACCCUUAUCGUUAGUUGCCAACGCGUAAUGGCGGGAACUCUAACGAGACUGCCUGGGUUAACCAGGAGGAAGGUGAGGAUGACGUCAAGUCCGCAUGGCCUUUAUGUCCAGGGCUACACACGUGCUACAAUGGUCGGUACAGAAGGCAGCGAAACCGUAAGGCGGAGCAAAUCCUGUAAAACCGAUCUCAGUUCAGAUUGUAGACUGCAAUUCGUCUACAUGAAGUUGGAAUUGCUAGUAAUGGCGUGUCAGCAACAACGCCGUGAAUACGUUCCCGGGCCUUGUACACACCGGAGUA